rnacentral:snRNA from 1 species
GUGCUCACUUUGGCACCACAUAUACUAAAAUGGGAAAAAAUGCAGAAAAUAUCAGUAUGGCUCCUGUGCAAGUAUGACAUGCACACAUUAUAUAUAAAUUUCU